GGGGUACUCCUCCUGGACCUGAGAGUAAACCAUAGUAGAAACAAACACACAAUUACAUUGGCUCUCGGGUCCAGGACACUCCCAUACAAAAUCAGAUAAUUCCCCCUCUGUGCCUGGGAGAUAAUUGUAUCAGGAACUGUACUAAUCUAAUCCAAUUAUCCCCAAGCACAGAAAAAACAUACUUUUUCCAAAACACACCAAAAUACAUAAAAGUUACAUCCCCUGAUUGCCCUGUUUUGGGUAACCAACAAUAUCCAAAAAUCACCCAGAUCAGUUCAGGGGUUCAAGAAUUUCCUGGAAGUCAUUUGUUUGACCGACCGCACACAUGGUCCCAUGCCCGAAACACUUCGGUAGAAUCAGGGCUAGCGGCCGGUCUAGUUCGGUAGUUUAAGAACGACCAAACUACCGAACAGAGUCAAUGGUCUUACCCUGGAGCUUGUUCCCCUUGUUCAGACGAAUGAUUCCACCGAACAGUGCCCUUGUAACUUGUGUAAAACCGAACGCGAUGGUGGAAGUCCAGCGGUGUUCGGGAGUUUUUGUGUCCGAUUUUAGUUCCAUGAGAUUCAUGCCCAAACACUGCUGCCUGCGUUCAUGCAAACAAGAUGGCUGUCACCUCGUGGUCGUCCAUAGGAAUUGCGGCCACCCAGACGAACACUUAGAACACGGAGGUGGAAAUUGUUGCUUUGUAGUAAUUAGGCUUAACAAGCUCCAUGUACAGGUGUUUUGGAAAGUUACAGGGUCAGAUAGGGCUUGCCCAUUUCCGUUUUUAUACACUGAAACUUGUGUAAAAAUAAUGUUGCCUUUGAGACCGUAUGGCAGCCCAGGAAUGAGAAUUACCCCAUAAGGGCAUACCAUUUGCAAAAGUAGACAACCCAGAUUAAUCAAAAUAGGGUAUGUCCAGUCUUCAUAUGCUAAUGAUGCUCAGAUCACAUUUUAUGACCAAUUUAGGCAGAAAUCCAUAUCAUUCCAAAGGGUUCACAUACUUUUUCUUGCAAC